GUCCAGACUCCUACGGGAGGCAGCAGUGGGGAAUAUUGCACAAUGGGGGAAACCCUGAUGCAGCGACGCCGCGUGAGCGAUGAAGUAUUUCGGUAUGUAAAGCUCUAUCAGCAGGGAAGAAGAUGACGGUACCUGACUAAGAAGCCCCGGCUAACUACGUGCCAGCAGCCGCGGUAAUACGUAGGGGGCAAGCGUUAUCCGGAUUUACUGGGUGUAAAGGGAGCGUAGACGGCGAUGCAAGCCAGAUGUGAAAGCCCGGGGCUCAACCCCGGGACUGCAUUUGGAACUGUGUGGCUGGAGUGUCGGAGAGGCAGGCGGAAUUCCUAGUGUAGCGGUGAAAUGCGUAGAUAUUAGGAGGAACACCAGUGGCGAAGGCGGCCUGCUGGACUGUAACUGACGUUGAGGCUCGAAAGCGUGGGGAGCAAACAGGAUUAGAUACCCGCGUA
rnacentral:rRNA from 1 species